GAUGAACGCUGGCGGCGUGCCUAAUACAUGCAAGUCGAGCGAACAGAUGAGGAGCUUGCUUCUCUGACGUUAGCGUCGGACGGGUGAGUAACACGUGGAUAACCUCUCUAUAAGACUGGGAUACCUUCGGGAAACCGGAGCUAAUACCGGAUAUUCUAUUUAACCGCAUGGUUCAAUAGUGAAAGACGGUUUUGCUGUCACUUAUACUUUCAUCCGCGCCGCGUUAUCUAGUUGGUAAGGUAACGGCUUACCAAGCGAACGAUGCUUAGCCGACCGGAGAGAGGGAUGGGCAAAACGGGAACUGGAACACGGUCAAGCCUCCAACGGGAGGCGGAAGUAGGGAAUCUUCGGCAAUGGGCGAAGGCCGGACGGAGAAAGGCGGCGGGGGUGAUGAAGGUCUUGGGAUCGAAAGACUCUGUUAUUAGGGAAGAAGGAAUGUGUAAGUAACUAUGCAAGUCUUGACGGUACCUAAUCAGAAAGCCACGGCUAACUACGUG
rnacentral:rRNA from 1 species